rnacentral:lncRNA from 1 species
AUGUCAUCUUCACUUAUGAAGAAAAUUUCUGCUUUACUCAAAAAAGGACAUACAGACCAUAUAAACCCAUGCCCUCGGUACAAUUCCAAGACAUUAAUAAUUCAAAAUCUUGUGGGAAUUUUGUCAUGGUGGAGAUACGACUUGUCUGCAAACAGAGCUCGGGGGAAGCUCAGUAUGAUCUAUUCUUCUAUAUAUGCACAACUGCUGCAUUCAUCACGACACAGAGAAGAACACAGGAUUCUCCAGCAUCUCUACAAUGGAAAUUUUGGAAUAUAUAUCAUAAAGUUUGUUAUGUAUAACAUAAUUAAUUCCCAAUCUCACGUGAAGAGUAAUAAUCACGAUAGGUCAUUAUACCUUAUAGAUUAAAAGGAUUGGUAAAUACAUUUUCUCUCCCUCAUCUCUUAAACAUAUAGGCCAUUAUUCAAAAACUAUUGAGAUGAGUGGUCAGAUGGAAAAAAUAUGAGAGAAAAACAUGUUGGGCUCCCUGCCUAUUGGAAGACAGAAUGUGCGUGUGUGUGUGUGUGUGUGUACACAAAAAUACAUGUGUACAUAUUUAUAUGUGUAUACAUAUUUGUAUACAUACACAUACACAUAGGUAGUAUGUUU